GUGUCAGCCGCCGCGGUAAAACGUAGGAGGCGAGCGUUAUCCGGAUUUACUGGGCGUAAAGCGCACGCAGGCGGCUCUGUAAGUUGGACGUGAAAGCUCCCGGCUUAACUGGGAGAGGUCGUUCGAUACUGCGGGGCUUGAGGUUGGGAGAGGGGUGCGGAAUUCCCGGUGUAGUGGUGGAAUGCGUAGAUAUCGGGAGGAACACCAGUGGCGCAAGCGGCGCCCUGGCCCACACCUGACGCUGAGGUGCGAAAGCGUGGGGAGCAAACAGGAUUAGAAACCCCUGUAGUCC
rnacentral:rRNA from 1 species